rnacentral:rRNA from 1 species
AAACUUUCAACAACGGAUCUCUUGGUUCUGGCAUCGAUGAAGAACGCAGCGAAAUGCGAUAAGUAAUGUGAAUUGCAGAAUUCAGCGAAUCAUCGAAUCUUUGAACGCACAUUGCGCCCCUUGGUAUUCCGAGGGGCAUGCCUGUUCGAGCGUCAUUA